rnacentral:rRNA from 2 species
AAAUUGAAGAGUUUGAUCAUGGCUCAGAUUGAACGCUGGCGGCAGGCCUAACACAUGCAAGUCGAACGGUAACAGGAAGCAGCUUGCUGCUUCGCUGACGAGUGGCGGACGGGUGAGUAAUGUCUGGGAAACUGCCUGAUGGAGGGGGAUAACUACUGGAAACGGUGGCUAAUACCGCAUAACGUCGCAAGACCAAAGAGGGGGACCUUCGGGCCUCUUGCCAUCAGAUGUGCCCAGAUGGGAUUAGCUAGUUGGUGAGGUAACGGCUCACCAAGGCGACGAUCCCUAGCUGGUCUGAGAGGAUGACCAGCCACACUGGAACUGAGACACGGUCCAGACUCCUACGGGAGGCAGCAGUGGGGAAUAUUGCACAAUGGGCGCAAGCCUGAUGCAGCCAUGCCGCGUGUAUGAAGAAGGCCUUAGGGUUGUAAAGUACUUUCAGCGGGGAGGAAGGUGUUGUGGUUAAUAACCGCAGCAAUUGACGUUACCCGCAGAAGAAGCACCGGCUAACUCCGUGCCAGCAGCCGCGGUAAUACGGAGGGUGCAAGCGUUAAUCGGAAUUACUGGGCGUAAAGCGCACGCAGGCGGUCUGUCAAGUCGGAUGUGAAAUCCCCGGGCUCAACCUGGGAACUGCAUUCGAAACUGGCAGGCUUGAGUCUUGUAGAGGGGGGUAGAAUUCCAGGUGUAGCGGUGAAAUGCGUAGAGAUCUGGAGGAAUACCGGUGGCGAAGGCGGCCCCCUGGACAAAGACUGACGCUCAGGUGCGAAAGCGUGGGGAGCAAACAGGAUUAGAUACCCUGGUAGUCCACGCCGUAAACGAUGUCUACUUGGAGGUUGUGCCCUUGAGGCGUGGCUUCCGGAGCUAACGCGUUAAGUAGACCGCCUGGGGAGUACGGCCGCAAGGUUAAAACUCAAAUGAAUUGACGGGGGCCCGCACAAGCGGUGGAGCAUGUGGUUUAAUUCGAUGCAACGCGAAGAACCUUACCUGGUCUUGACAUCCACAGAACUUUCCAGAGAUGGAUUGGUGCCUUCGGGAACUGUGAGACAGGUGCUGCAUGGCUGUCGUCAGCUCGUGUUGUGAAAUGUUGGGUUAAGUCCCGCAACGAGCGCAACCCUUAUCCUUUGUUGCCAGCGGUUAGGCCGGGAACUCAAAGGAGACUGCCAGUGAUAAACUGGAGGAAGGUGGGGAUGACGUCAAGUCAUCAUGGCCCUUACGACCAGGGCUACACACGUGCUACAAUGGCGCAUACAAAGAGAAGCGACCUCGCGAGAGCAAGCGGACCUCAUAAAGUGCGUCGUAGUCCGGAUUGGAGUCUGCAACUCGACUCCAUGAAGUCGGAAUCGCUAGUAAUCGUGGAUCAGAAUGCCACGGUGAAUACGUUCCCGGGCCUUGUACACACCGCCCGUCACACCAUGGGAGUGGGUUGCAAAAGAAGUAGGUAGCUUAACCUUCGGGAGGGCGCUUACCACUUUGUGAUUCAUGACUGGGGUGAAGUCGUAACAAGGUAACCGUAGGGGAACCUGCGGUUGGAUCACCUCCUUACCUUAAAGAAGC